rfam:Schistosoma haematobium scaffold1202_13, whole genome shotgun sequence.
AGCCUUCUGUAUCCGUGCUGAGAUUUCGUCACACACCAGACCACAAGGGCUGAU